rnacentral:lncRNA from 1 species
GAAAGGGUCCUCUGGGGUUUGACCCCACUUUUUCCACAUCUCUAAGGCUGUGGUGGACAGUGGACAGCCUCUGAAGUGUCCCUGGGGCCUGGAGGGGGUAGUGCAGGAUGGGAAGGGGGAAGGGGGCUCUCAGGAAGCCCCAGGUGACUUCCUGUCCAGUCACACCCACCAUCAGCCAGCCAUGUGUGCUGAGGGGCUGGCCAAAGCCCAGGCUCCUGGCCUGGAGCUGGCUGCGGGUGGAGGUCAGAAGAGAAGUGGGAGAAGGAGGAGACUCGGGCUGGCUGCUGAGAGGCUGGCUCACCCUCCACCCAGAUGAGAAGAACUGUUCUGACUGUAUAUGUGUCAAGUCCGAAUUCCACUGCGGGGACCCUGGAUGCCAGACCUGUACCCACCACCCCUGCCCUCCAGGCCAGGAAGCAGUGCCUGAAGGGAAUUUCAAGUUUGGCUUCAGAUGUGUGGACUGCGCUGUGGGGACCUUCUCCAGUGGCCACGAGGGCCGCUGCAGACCUUGGACAGACUGCGACCAGUUUGGUUUUCUCACCAUGUUCCAUGGGAACAAAACUCACAAUGCUGUAUGCAUCCUGGGGUCUCUGCCCGCUGAGCCACCUGGCCAGCUGACCAUCCUCCUCUUGGCCCUGGCCACCUGCAUCCUCGUCCUGACCACAGCCCAGCUCAGCCUGCACAUCUGGCAGCUGAGGAGGAAGCACAGGUGGCCUCAAGAGACCCCGCCACUUCCAGAGGUGCUCCCCCCACCUGCGGAGGAUGCCUGCAGCUGCCAGUUCCCUGAGGAGGAGCGGGGGGAGCGGCUGGAGAAGGACGAGCUGGGGCGUCCUUGGGUGUGAGGCUGACCAUCCUCAGGAGAAGCUGCACCCCAAGCCAGACCCUCCCCAGGAGCUGGCCCAGGCUGACCCUUGGGAGCCAGGGCUCUGCUUUCCAUCUGUUCUGGGCCCGGCCCUGCUCCCCUCAACGGUGGAAGUGGGUACAGGAUGGUGACAGUGACAAGUUCCCUCGACUGUGCAGAAGGGUGGUGGCCAUGGCUGGCCCUGUGGGAGAGAUGGGCAGCCGUGACUGCCUUCCUCCCUGGCCAGCCCUGCUGGGGUGGGGUCUGUGUUCCCCCCACGGGUGUGCAGUGUCCAGCAGGGGACCUGGCUGCAGGUGGUUUUCAAUAAACACUUGUUCAG